rnacentral:rRNA from 1 species
AUGAACAAGAAUCUAGUUAGCGGCUCCCUUCUAUGUCGAGAUGGAUUUAAGGUAGUUUUAGAGUCCAAUAAAGUAAUCGUGUCAAGAUUUGGACAAUUUAUAGGAAAAGGCUAUGAGUGCGGAGGCUUGUUCCGCUUUUCUCUUUCAGAUUUUUGCAAUAAGUCAAUAAACCAAAUUUGUGCUAGUGUUAAUGAUGAUGCAAGUAUUUGGCACUCUCGUUUAUGUCAUAUUAAUUUUGGUUUAAUGUCUCGGCUAUUCAGCAUGAGUUUAAUUACGAACUUCACAGUUGCCAAAGGUUCUAAGUGCCAUAGUUGUGUGCAAUCUAAGCAACCUCGAAAGCCUCAUAAGGCUGCCGAGGAGAGAAACUUGGCGCCUCUAGAACUCAUACAUUCUGAUCUUUGUGAGAUGAAUGGUGUGUUGACAAAAGGUGGAAAGAGAUAUUUCAUGACUUUGAUUGAUGAUGUGACUAGAUUUUGCUAUGUUUAUUUGUUGCAAACUAAAGAUGAAGCAUUAGACUACUUUAAAAUCUAUAAAGCUGAAGUUGAAAAUCAACUAGAGAGAAAGAUCAAGCGUCUUAGGUCCGAUCGUGGUGGAGAGUAUUUUCCAAAAGUUUUUGAUGAAUUUUGUGAGGAAUAUGGUAUUAUUCAUGAGAGGACGCCUCCCUAUUCACCUCAAUCAAAUGGAGUGGCCGAGAGGAAAAACCGCACAUUGACUGACUUGGUGAAUGCCAUGUUAGACACUGCUGGUUUAUCUAAGGCAUGGUGGGGGGAGGCUCUAUUGACUUCAUGUCAUGUCCUGAAUAGAGUUCCCAACAAUAAUAAAGAGAAAACCCCUUAUGAGGAGUGGGUUGGGAGAAAACCAUCACUUUCUUAUUUGCGCACUUGGGGAUGUUUGGCAAAGGUCAAUAUUCCUAUUCCUAAGAAACGCAAACUUGGACCAAAGACAGUGGAUUGUGUCUUUCUAGGGUAUGCUCAACGGAGCAUUGCUUAUAGGUUUUUAGUGGUAAAAUCUGAAGUACCUGAUAUGCAUGUUGAUACUAUAAUGGAAUCUCGUGAUGCAACAUUUUUUUAG